rnacentral:rRNA from 1 species
GACGAACGCUGGCGGCGUGCUUAACACAUGCAAGUCGAGCGAAUCUUGAGGGGCUUGCCCCUUGAGGUUAGCGGCGGACGGGUGAGUAACACGUGGGCAACCUGCCUGUAAGACUGGGAUAACACCGGGAAACCGGUGCUAAUACCGGAUAAUUCUUUUCCUCACAUGAGGGAAAGCUGAAAGUCGGUUUCGGCUGACACUUACAGAUGGGCCCGCGGCGCAUUAGCUAGUUGGUCAGGUAACGGCUCACCAAGGCAACGAUGCGUAGCCGACCUGAGAGGGUGAUCCGCCACACUGGGACUGGGACACGGCCCAGACUCCUACGGGAGGCAGCAGUAGGGAAUCUUCCGCAAUGGACGAAAGUCUGACGGAGCAACGCCGCGUGAGUGAUGAAGGCCUUCGGGUCGUAAAACUCUGUUGUUAGGGAAGAACAAGUAUCGGAGUAACUGCCGGUACCUUGACGGUACCUAACCAGAAAGCCACGGCUAACUACGUGCCAGCCGCCGCCGUAAAAC